rnacentral:lncRNA from 1 species
UUUGGAACAAAACAAACCACCAGACUAAUGCAAAGAGUGGCGGGAACUGACACACCCCGUCCCGAAGGAGGGCAUGCUGGCCGUCACGUGAGAGUGACGUAACCAUUUGCACAGUACGGAAGCUUUAAGAUACAAUUUAAAUUGAUACACCCGAAGGUGAGUCCUAAUUUGUCCAAUCUGUCAGAACACCGUCGAAUUCCUCGUAGUCACCACACCUUUGUGAUUCUUGAACCUGGAGGGGCGCAAAACCAAAAUUGAGUGGGUCAGUAAAACAAUUCUUUUCCAAAUCCAAACAUUUCUCAAAACGUUGUAACCCCUCUCCGUAAAACCUGUAUACUUUCCCAGAAAUGUAAAAUAUAAAUAUACAUAUAUAUUCUCAAAACUUCAUUUUUACUAUCUCAACAUUUUUCUUUAUCAAUCAUGCCAUGCCAUGUCUAAUUCAACAGUUAAAUAUGGAUGCAUCAAUAAUAAUCAUAUCAGGUGCAAGAAAGUAAUCAACCGGAGGCCCUCUAAUAGCCCUGUACGGUUGAACCUAGAGCUCAAAAUCUAUCACUAUCACUCUACCGGAGUCACCUCUGUGACCCGUCCGGCCUUCUGCACACAAGUUACGCUCUAGUGCUUUUCUCAUCAAUCAUCUGUGCACAUAAUCUAAGGUCACCCACCAGUCGGAAUCUCACUAAACACUCUCGCGACUGGCCUGUCGUACCCACUCCGCGUGGACUGUACGACUAGCAUCUACUUGGAUCCAAGGCGAGCGUGCGAUGCGGUGAAUACUAUAAGCACUAAACCAUGGUGCAGGAUUUGAGCUCAAUAUAUAUCAACAUCAUCAUAACAGUAAUUAAAUACUCACCUGAUACUCACCUGUGCGUCCGCCGCACCAUUCAUUCAUAUGCAUCAUAUCUCAAUUCAUACUUUUCAUAUCAUUUCAUGCAUGGCAAUUCGAUUCACAUUUCUAUAUACUUUUCAUAUACUUUUAUGCAUGGCAUUUCAACUAAUAUAUCUCAUAUACUUUUAUACAUUUUCAUUAAAAGCAUAAUUUCAUGCAUUUUCAAUUUCUGGGAAACGGCAAGUAUAUAUGUAUACGGAAAACAAAACUGCCCACUCACCUGGAGUUCGCCCUACAACUCCCUAGCACAAUACGCCAAGGCGUCAUGACGAUCGGCGCCUAAAACAAUAAUUAAUUCCAACCUCAGAAUUCAUAGUGAUAGAAUAUAUAACUUAUAUAAAAUACGUCACUACGUAGUUCGAUCCGGAAGAUCUGCCACUCAGAUUUUAAAUCCAUAACUUCCAGAGGUCCACAAUAUACCUCUAGGACAACUUCCUAAAAUUUCAUUACCAUCCAACGGUCGGAUCUCCGUCAAUUUCCAAAACUAAGUGACGGUUAACAUUUUAUUUUAUGAACUUACAAUUCCAAUUCCGGAAGAUCCGUAAACUCGGAUUCCCAAUCCGUAAGUUCCAAUAAUCCUCAAAUAUUACGUAUUACAACGUAUCAAAGUUUGGUAACGAUCCAACGGUCGGAUCGUCAAUUCACAUUUUCACCAAAACUAUAAAACGUUAUUCGAACACCUAACCAACAAUCCUUAAUAACUUUCUCAUACGGUGCUCAAAUUGGGUAUAUGAAUAUACCACGGUGAUCUACUCGACGUCACGGACGUCGACAUAUUUUUAAAAUAAUUUUAUUUAUUUAUUUUUUUAACUGUAGCACCUUCUUCUUCCUUGGGUCGCCGGACUGGUUUUUCCGGCGGCCGUUUUCCGGGCAGUUUUUCAAAUUGUCAUAACUUUGUCAUUUCUCAACGAAAUCAAGUGAUUCAAAAACGAAAGUUGUAGCCCUUGAAGAGACAAAGAGAAUGGUACCUUUCCCAACACCUAGUUCGCCGUAGUUUGGCCGGAAACUGCCUCGAAAGCCUCGGAGGUCGCCGGAAAACUGGGUAUUUUUUCAAAUGAGUAUAACUUCUUCAAUACUCAACAAAAUUGAGUGAAACAAAAAGGAAAGUUGUAGUACUUGACGAGACGAAGAGAUUGAUACCUACCUCGACGCCUAACUCGCCGGGGAUUCGCCGGAAAAUGCCUCGAAAGCUCCGGCCAAACUUUGAACUUAUCGAUCUCCGUGUUCUUACGUCCAAAAACUUCCAACGAAGCACUCCGAGCUUCCUUGGAACCUCACUAAGCUCACUGUGAGCUUGGAUUGUCCUAAAACAAAGUCAAUUCGAAGAUCAUGAACAGUGCACUUUCACGGGAGUUUAGAAUCUAGGUUUUCCGAAGUAAAACUUACCUGAAAUUGGUGUCUACGUGAUCGUGGAGUCUCCAGGAGUUCGAUGGUGGUCUUAACUCCGUCGUUGGUGGAAGUUUAAGGUUGUUUUGUGGUUGGUUUGUUCGAACGGAGAAGAAGAGUGACAGAGAGAGAGAGAUUCGUGAGGGAGGAGAGAGAGUGAAUGACAGUAUACGGGAAUUGGGGAGGGAAUCAGGGUAGGAGGCCCUACUUAAAUCCCAAACACAACUUUAAACAUACUAAUGUAAAUCCAAUUGUUAAAUUUUCGCCCCUUAGUCCCGCU